AACGGUCUAUACCUGCGGUACCUGCGGAGGGAUCAUUAAAGAAAUAGUGGAUGUGCUGGCUUUAUUAUUAUUGCAUGUGCACUCCCAAAAUUAUUAAUUCAUUCACCUGUGCAUUGAUUGUAGGCAGAGAGAGAACUGAAAGGACUUGUUUGCCUUUCAUUCAUUCCCUUGUCUAUGCUCCUUUGUAAAUCCUACAUUUAAGUUGUUGACUGUAAAAUGGAAUUUAAAACAACUUUUAGC
rnacentral:misc_RNA from 1 species